GGAGAAUGUGUGCGCAAGCAGUGGUCCAGACUCCCAGGGCUAGAUGCAGUUGCAGACGCAGAAGCCUAGUUCCCCGGGCACAUCCUGGCCUUUUCCAGCCUGGCCAGAAGGACCUAUAGUGGGUAGAGGAAAGUCUUCCUCUCCUACAGUUUGGUGAUGUGGACCGGAUAAAAUUUCACUGGCUUGACACUGCUCACUCCUGGGCUGCUGCAGCCAAGAGAUCCUGAACCCCUAACAAGAGCCAGCAAAAAGUGAGAGUUCUUACCACGUCAGUCUCCUGUAUCUCUGCCUGCAGGGUCCAGUGGAAGCAAGAGUGAGAAAUUCAUGAAAAGCACUCUGGUGCUUGCUCUAGACUACGGGU
rnacentral:lncRNA from 1 species